rnacentral:rRNA from 1 species
UGGGGAAUUUUGGGCAAUGGGCGAAAGCCUGACCCAGCAACGCCGCGUGAAGGACGAAAUCCCUCUGGGAUGUAAACUUCGAAAGUCAGGAAAGAAAACCUACGUGAGAAUACCGCGUAGGGAUGACGGUACCUGACGUAAGCCCCGGCUAACUACGUGCCAGCAGCCGCGGUAAUACGUAGGGGGCAAGCGUUGUUCGGAAUUACUGGGCGUAAAGGGCGCGUAGGCGGCACGGCAAGUCGGGAGUGAAAGCCCGGGGCUCAACCCCGGAACGUCUUUCGAGACUGCCGAGCUAGAGUACGGAAGGGGCAACCGGAAUUCCCAGUGUAGCGGUGAAAUGCGUAGAUAUUGGGAAGAACACCUGAGGCGAAGGCGGGUUGCUGGGCCGAUACUGACGCUGAGGCGCGAAAGCCAGGGGAGCAAACGGG